rnacentral:rRNA from 1 species
UACGGAGGGUGCGAACGUUAAUCGGAAUCACUGGGCGUAAAGCGCGCGUAGGCGGUUUGUUAAGUGGGAUGUGAAAUCCCCGGGCUUAACUUGGGAAUUGCAUUUCAAACUGGCCGACUAGAGUACGGUAGAGGGAGGUAGAAUUUCCUGUGUAGCGGUGAAAUGCGUAGAUAUAGGAAGGAAUACCAGUGGCGAAGGCGGCCUCCUGGAUCGAUACUGACGCUGAGGCGCGAAAGCGUGGGGAGCAAACAGG